rnacentral:rRNA from 1 species
GAUCCUGGCUCAGGAUGAACGCUAGCGACAGGCUUAACACAUGCAAGUCGAGGGGCAGCACGGUGUAGCAAUACACUGGUGGCGACCGGCGCACGGGUGAGUAACACGUGUGCAACCAACCCCGUACCGGGAGAUAACCCGCGGAAACGUGGACUAACAUCCCAUAAUACUGGAGGAUCGCAUGAUCUUUCAUUUAAAAUUCCGGUGGUACGGGAUGGGCACGCGCGACAUUAGGUAGUUGGCGGGGUAAGGG